rnacentral:rRNA from 1 species
AACGUAGGUCACAAGCGUUGUCCGGAAUUACUGGGUGUAAAGGGAGCGCAGGCGGGAAGACAAGUUGGAAGUGAAAUCCAUGGGCUCAACCCAUGAACUGCUUUCAAAACUGUUUUUCUUGAGUAGUGCAGAGGUAGGCGGAAUUCCCGGUGUAGCGGUGGAAUGCGUAGAUAUCGGGAGGAACACCAGUGGCGAAGGCGGCCUACUGGGCACCAACUGACGCUGAGGCUCGAAAGUGUGGGUAGCAAAC